AUGAACGCUAGCUACAGGCUUAACACAUGCAAGUCGAGGGGCAGCAUGAACUUAGCUUGCUAAGUUUGAUGGCGACCGGCGCACGGGUGAGUAACACGUAUCCAACCUGCCGAUGACUCGGGGAUAGCCUUUCGAAAGAAAGAUUAAUACCCGAUGGCAUAGUUCUUCCGCAUGGUGGAACUAUUAAAGAAUUUCGGUCAUCGAUGGGGAUGCGUUCCAUUAGGUUGUUGGCGGGGUAACGGCCCACCAAGCCUUCGAUGGAUAGGGGUUCUGAGAGGAAGGUCCCCCACAUUGGAACUGAGACACGGUCCAAACUCCUACGGGAGGCAGCAGUGAGGAAUAUUGGUCAAUGGACGAGAGUCUGAACCAGCCAAGUAGCGUGAAGGAUGACUGCCCUAUGGGUUGUAAACUUCUUUUAUACGGGAAUAAAGUGAGGCACGCGUGCCUUUUUGUAUGUACCGUAUGAAUAAGGAUCGGCUAACUCCGUGCCAGCAGCCGCGGUAAUACGGAGGAUCCGAGCGUUAUCCGGAUUUAUUGGGUUUAAAGGGAGCGUAGGCGGACGCUUAAGUCAGUUGUGAAAGUUUGCGGCUCAACCGUAAAAUUGCAGUUGAUACUGGGUGUCUUGAGUACAGUAGAGGCAGGCGGAAUUCGUGGUGUAGCGGUGAAAUGCUUAGAUAUCACGAAGAACUCCGAUUGCGAAGGCAGCCUGCUGGACUGUAACUGACGCUGAUGCUCGAAAGUGUGGGUAUCAAACAGGAUUAGAUACCCUGGUAGUCCACACAGGAUACGAUGAAGACUCGCUGUUUGCGAUAUACAGUAAGCGGCCAAGCGAAAGCGUUAAGUAUUCCACCUGGGGAGUACGCCGGCAACGGUGAAACUCAAAGGAAUUGACGGGGGCCCGCACAAGCAGUGGAGUAUGUGGUUUAAUUCGACGCAACGCGAAGAACCUUACCAGGUCUUGACAUCGCAUGCCAUCUGUAGAAGUACAGAGUUCCCUUCGGGGACAUGCAGACAGGUGGUGCAUGGUUGUCGUCAGCUCGUGUCGUGAGAUGUUGGGUUAAGUCCCGCAACGAGCGCAACCCCUAUCCUCAGUAGCCAGCAUUUAAGGUGGGCACUCUGGGGAGACUGCCAGGGAUAACCUGGAGGAAGGUGGGGACGACGUCAAAUCAUCAUGCCCCUUAUAUCCUGGGCUACACACGUAAUACAAUGGCGGUCAACAGAGGGAAGCAAAGCCGCGAGGUGGAGCAAAUCCCCAAAAGUCGUCUCAGUUCGGACUGCAGUCUGCAACUCGACUGCACGAAGUCGGAAUUGCUAGUAAUCGCGGAUCAGCAUGCCGCGGUGAAUACGUUCCCGGGCCUUGUACACACCGCCCGUCAAGCCAUGAAAGCCGGGGGUACCUGAAGUGCGUAACCGCGAGGAGCGCCCUAGGGUAAAACUGGUGAUUGGGGCU
rnacentral:rRNA from 1 species